GAGUUUGAUCCUGGCUCAGAAUCAACGCUGGCGGCAGGCUUAACACAUGCAAGUCGAACGCGCCCUUCGGGGCGAGUGGCAGACGGGUGAGUAACGCGUGGGAACCUACCUGGUGGUGCGGAAUAACCCGGGGAAACCCGGGCUAAUACCGCAUACGCCCUCGGGGCUUCGGCCUUGGGGGGAAAGAUUCAUCGCCAUUGGAUGGGCCCGCGUCGGAUUAGCUUGUUGGUGUGGUAACGGCGCACCAAGGCGACGAUCCGUAGCUGGUCUGAGAGGAUGAUCAGCCACACUGGGACUGAGACACGGCCCAGACUCCUACGGGAGGCAGCAGUGGGGAAUAUUGGACAAUGGGGGCAACCCUGAUCCAGCCAUGCCGCGUGAGUGAAGAAGGCCUUAGGGUUGUAAAUCUCUUUCGGCGGGGAAGAUAAUGACGGUACCCGCAGAAGAA
rnacentral:rRNA from 1 species